rnacentral:ncRNA from 2 species
CAGAAGUGGAUCCGGGCUUGUGCUUGCGCAUGAGUCCUGCAGGGAAUCCGGUGUAAAUCCGGAACGGACCCGCCGCUGUAAGUGACGACGAAAACCGCAUAGGCCACUGUACUGUAACCUUGUUUGUCCGCGAUGUUCAAUGAGACAGGCAAAAAAACAUGACGAAACAGUAUGGGAAGGCGCGGUCGGUAGGAUGAAUCACGAGUCAGAAUAUCUGCCAGCUAUGCGUAUCUUAC